rnacentral:rRNA from 1 species
CAGUAGCCACGGUAAUACGAAGGGGGCUAGCGUUGCUCGGAAUCACUGGGCGUGAAGGGUGCGUAGGCGGGUCUUUAAGUCAGGGAUGAAAUCCUGGAGCUCAACUCCAGAACUGCCUUUGAUACUGAAGAUCUUGAGUUCGGGAGAGGUGAGUGGAACUGCGAGCGUAGAGGUGAAAUUCGUAGAUAUUCGCAAGAACACCAGUGGCGAAGGCGGCUCACUGGCCCGAUACUGACGCUGAGGCACGAAAGCGUGGGGAGCAAACAGGAUUAGAUACCCGUGUAGUCCCUGUCUCUUAUAC